AAGACAAGACAAGUUAAUAAUGGAACUGUAAACAACAGAGGAUGGAUAAGCACUGAACAAAAAGGAAGAGAAAAAUAAGGGCAACAAUCCUAAAGUAAGGGAGUUUCCUUCAAAGACCCCUAAAAAUACAAUAGAGGUAGAGAAUGUGUAUAGGAUGCGCCUAAUUAGUAAGUAACGCCUAAGUCAAUAGAACAACAAAUAAUUUACAAAAAGUAGGGUGUACUGUAUGCCAGUGAACAAUUCAAAAAGAAAAACUAAGUACUAAAAUAUUAAAAUAUACAAAUAAUAGCAGACAGUCCCCAUAGUAACUGGCUUUCUUCUCUUUAGAAGAAGGUAAUUGAGUUUCUUAGAUCCAAUGGUACAUAUAAAAAAACAAAAGGAUUCAAUAGUGCAAUAAGUCAGAAACAAACAGAACACACAAUACACAAAUGUGUGAUUGGCAAUGCACAUGAAGUAUAGAUUCAAACCAGCUCCAGUACAUGUAGCGUACAGU